CAGUCACUGGAUUCAUGGUUUACAAAAAGAAGAAAGCCAAACACCCUCCACCUCCUCCUGACAGCGACUCUGAGCUCUCUGAGAACCUGAAUCCAGAAACCUGACAAACACUCAGGCAGUGAGCUCACAUGGGAGGGAAAA